CCUACGGGAGGCAGCAGUCGAGAGGCUUCGGCAAUGGGGGAAACCCUGACCGAGCGACGCCGCGUGGGUGAUGAAGAUCCUCGGAUCGUAAAACCCUGUCAGGUGGGAGGAAAUACCAUUCGGUUAACACCCGAGUGGCUUGACAGUACCACCAGAGGAAGCUCCGGCCAACUCCGUGCCAGCAGCCGCGGUAACACGGGGGGAGCAAGCGUUGUUCGGAUUCAUUGGGCGUAAAGGGCUCGUAGGCCGCUCUGUAAGUCGGGAGUGAAAGACCACGGCUCAACCGUGGAAACGCUUUCGAAACUGUGGAGCUUGAGGCCGGGAGAGGAGAUUGGAAUUCCUGGUGUAGCGGUGAAAUGCGUAGAUAUCAGGAGGAACACCCGUGGCGAAGGCGAAUCUCUGGACCGGUUCUGACGCUGAUGAGCGAAAGCUAGGGGAGC
rnacentral:rRNA from 1 species